AAAACUUUCAACAACGGAUCUCUUGGUUCUGGCAUCGAUGAAGAACGCAGCGAAAUGCGAUAAGUAAUGUGAAUUGCAGAAUUCAGUGAACCAUCGAAUCUUUGAACGCACAUUGCGCCCGGUAGUAAUCUGCCGGGCAUGCCUGUCCGAGCGUCAUUU
rnacentral:rRNA from 4 species